AGGCUCUUUUGCCAUCGCUUUUACUUUUCUCUCGCUUCCAUCGUUUUGCAAGUUAGCGUCUCCUCCGUCUUGCACCAGCUUCCGUCACCACCGUCGCCGUCGCCGUCGCCGUCUACCUCCGCCACAUCCAUGCCAACGCCGUACGCUUCUUCUGCCAGGGGCCUCUCAUCCUCCGAUCCGAUCCUCGACCGCCUCGCCUCCUCCGAUGGCGCGGUGAAAUUCAGAGCCAUCCGCGAGGUGAAGAACCACAUAAUUGGAAACCGAACAAAGAAGCUCUCCUACAUCAAGCUCGGCGCCGUCCCCGCAGUUGCCGCCGCGCUCGCGGACUCCGACCCCAACCUCAUUGUCCAGUCUGCCGCCGCGCUCGGAAGCUUCGCCUGCGGCGUAGAUGCCGGCGUCCGUGCCGUCCUGGACGCCGGAGCUUUUCCGCGCUUGAUCGGACUCCUCUCCGCUCCCGACGAGAAGGUUUUGGAUGCUGCUGCUCGUUCUUUGCGAAUGAUUUAUCAAUCAAAACUAGCUCCAAAGUAUGAUUUUUUUCAAGAGGAAAACAUGCAAUUUCUUCUUUCAUUAUUGAAAAGUGAGAAUGAAAAUCUUACUGGGCUAGGUGCAGGCAUUGUUAUUCAUUCUUGCAAGACAAUUGGGGAACAAAAUAUAUUAUGCCACGCCGGUGUUUUAGAGAAACUCACUAGUCUUCUUGAUGGUUCUCUAAGUCAGCGAGAUGCUAGUCUAGAGUCAUUAGCUGCAAUUAUUAGAGACAACCCAGCAGCUGUCUCUAACUUUGUUGAACUUCGCUGUGGAAGAGCUUUACGUUCUGUUACUGACUUAACUAAAGACAAAUAUCCUCGAACAAGAUUACUAGCCUGCUUGUGCUUGAUUUCUGUGAAGAAUUCUUCGACAUGCUAUCUCCAAGAUAUAGGAAUCAAAACCAAAUUGGUCUACCUUUUGCUUGAGCUCCUUGAUGAUUCUGGUCAAGUUGGGGAUGAAGCUUCUUUUGCUUUCUCAAGUUUAAUUGCAGAGAAGGAAGAUUUGCAGAAGUUAGCGUUUGAGGCAAAUGCUAUUAAUAAGUUCAACUGCCUUUUACAAAAGCAUCCCAUACAAACUAAAAGGCUUGAAGGGGUACUUCUUGCCUUGGCUGAUCUUUGCUCAAAAUUGGAGUGCUGCAGGUCUAGUUUUCUUUCAUUGCAGGUCUUGAACCUAGUAAUUGAUGCCUUAACUCAUGAGGAUGCCAGUGUACGCACUGCAGCUUGCAUUUGCUUGAGAAGUGUUUCUCGCUCAAUCAGGAAUUUGAGUGCAGGUCGUUUUAUGAAUGAAAGGGUUGUUUUUCCUUUGGUUCAGCUUCUCUCUGAUCUUUCUACUUCUGUCCAGGUUGCAGCCCUUGGGGCCAUCAGCAAUAUAGUCGUUGACUUUUUGCCACAUAAAUCAACAUUCGUACAAUGUGGGGGCGUUAAAGAGCUUGUGCAAUUGACCAAGUCGAUGGAUUCAUCCUUAAGAUUAAAUGCUGUAUGGGCAUUGAGGAACAUGGUAUUCCUUGCAGACACGAUAUGCAAGGAAGGAGUUUUUGUGGAGUUAACAGCAUCUUCAAUGGCUAGCCUUAUUUGUGAUCCUGAACCUUCUGUUCAAGAACAAGCUCUGGCCCUUGUUCGCAAUUUUGUUGAUGGAUGUCUGUACUCUGUUGAGCAUGCUUUUGCUGAAGAUGGUAUCAUACUAGAUGCUGUUGGAAGACAGUUACAAAAGUCUUCUAAAAUUGAAAUUGGGAUACAGGGGAUGUAUAUUCUGAGCAAUAUUGCAAGUGGCAAUGAGUUUCAUAAGGAUGCAGUCAUGCAGCUACUCUUCCCUCAAGACGAGAAUGGGUCUCACUCUUUCUUUGAGCAGUUUUUGCAGAGUCCUGACAGUCGCUUACGCACAGCUGCAGUGUGGGUUGUAAUAAACCUCACUUUUCCUGCUAGUCCUGGUGCAUUUGGCCGGAUUGUAAAUCUGCGUAGUUUCGGCAUUGUUUCUCGAAUAAAGAAGAUGGUCAAUGAUUCUUGCAUGGAUGUGAAGCUUCGAGCGAGACUUGCACUUGGACAGAUUAUUACUUUUGGCGAUAGUUAAGUGCAUUAAUGUCCACUUUACCAAGUCCUUUGGCCAAGAACAAAGUGGAGAAAAGGGAUAUUGAUAGAAUUUAAUUUCUCAUAUGUUCUUUAUUAUACACUGUAGUCUCCAACCCUCUGCAUCAGCUUUCAAUAUGGUGUAUCAAUAUGCUUUAGUUUAUCUUUGAGUAAGCUCCUAAAUCGGUCUUCCAUAGAUUCCAGUGUGACCUCAUAAGCCGUCAAAAGAUUUUUGUCCUCAGUGUAUUCCUUCAGAAGACCCGAAAUGUCACCACAUGAUAAAUUGAGAUACAUAAAAGACGGAUUAGGUUACUGUUUUAUAUUUUUGAAAAGAUUAAUUGGGUGACAGGAAUCUUUAGAGGACUAAUGUGGUAACACAUUAAUCUUUUGAGAAAACCAGUGUAGGGGUUUGCUCUUUCUUCUAACCAGUCAGGGCAGUGUCAGAGCUUUGUGGUUCUGUAAGCACUCUUGGCCAGGUUACCCUCAAAAUCUCUUUUUUCUUUCUUGUGCACAAUAUGUAUUACUUCUUCUUUUUUUGUAAAUCAGGUGAUCAUAGACUCAGUAGAUUUACAGGCUUUAGUGUUGUAAGAUAUGAGUAGUAAAUCUCAAUUAGAACCGAGUUCAAUUUAAUUUUGAUUAUAUUUGCAAAUAGCAUAAUUGUCUAUGUUUCUGGCAUUCAUGCAUGCCUUGUAAUUUUCAUUUUCUUGGUUUUGUUUAUGAAUUCCUUGAUCUUCAGUUAAUAAAGUUCAUGAAUGUUACACAUCAA